rnacentral:rRNA from 1 species
GUAACCUGCCCUUGACUUUGGGAUAACUUCAGGAAACUGGGGCUAAUACCGGAUAGGAGCUCCUGCUGCAUGGUGGGGGUUGGAAAGUUUCGGCGGUUGGGGAUGGACUCGCGGCUUAUCAGCUUGUUGGUGGGGUAGUGGCCUACCAAGGCGACGACGGGUAGCCGGCCUGAGAGGGUGACCGGCCACACUGGGACUGAGACACGGCCCAGACUCCUACGGGAGGCAGCAGUGGGGAAUAUUGCGCAAUGGGCGAAAGCCUGACGCAGCGACGCCGCGUGGGGGAUGACGGCCUUCGGGUUGUAAACCUCUUUCAGCAGGGACGAAGCGAAAGUGACGGUACCUGCAGAAGAAGCACCGGCCAACUACGUGCCAGCAGCCGCGGUAAUACGUAGGGUGCAAGCGUUGUCCGGAAUUAUUGGGCGUAAAGAGCUCGUAGGCGGUUCGUCGCGUCGGCUGUGAAAACCUGAGGCUCAACCUCAGGCCUGCAGUCGAUACGGGCGGACUUGAGUACUGCAGGGGAGACUGGAAUUCCUGGUGUAGCGGUGAAAUGCGCAGAUAUCAGGAGGAACACCGGUGGCGAAGGCGGGUCUCUGGGCAGUAACUGACGCUGAGGAGCGAAAGCGUGGGGAGCGAACAGGAUUAGAUACCCUGGUAGUCCACGCCGUAAACGAUGUCAACUAGCCGUUGGGUUCCUUGAGAACUUAGUGGCGCAGCUAACGCAUUAAGUUAUCCGCCUGGGGAGUACGGCCGCAAGGCUAAAACUCAAAGGAAUUGACGGGGCCCCGCACAAGCGGCGGAGCAUGCGGAUUAAUUCGAUGCAACGCGUAGAACCUUACCUGGGUUUGACAUGGAUCGGGAGUGCUCAGAGAUGGGUGUGCCUCUUUUGGGGUCGGUUCACA